CAAUGCCCUGUGUGACAUCACCACUGAGGUGGGGGCGGGGUAGCCCUCUCUGAGCCCAGCAGAAGGGAGAUAGCCAUCUUUUGCUGCCUCUAUGCCUCCUGGUCUCUAAGAAACGUGAACUAUGAGGACUACCAGCCAAGUCCUAGGGAAAGGUUUCCCCUCAAGAGCCAGCAUGUGGCCAUGGCCUAACACUAGCUCUUAUCAGAUAAGUGCCUCUGUUUGACAGAUCAUCAUUGUAUGCCAGGCACUGGGCUGGAUCCUGUGGUAAAUGACAUCAAUGAGGAAGAUCCCUGCCCCCACAGAACUGGCCUUAUAAUGAGGAACAUUCACAAAGAGUAAAUAAAUAAAAUUAGGCACCAUGGUGGAGGAGAUGAGUUGAAAACAGAUAAGCGUGGAAAAUACAGUCACAGAGACCUGUCAGCUUAAUUCUGUCAAACUCUACGAGUGAGCAGGCCAAAGACUGCAGUGUUCCUCCCUUAAAGAAGAGAAAACCAACCUCCAGAGAGGUAGCAAUUACUCAGGGCCACAGAAAGCAAGGACCGGGACCCCGGACUUUCUCUGGGAGAUGCUUCCUUCCAAGCGGAAAGGGUUAAAAGAGAUCUGAUCAAGUGCUUUGGAAAAUAUGAUUACCAUGGUUGGCUGUACCCACUAGAAACAACCUCCUCUCUGUUGGCAGCUUGUUCUCUCACCAGAGUUUGACAGUACGUCUGUACCAGCAUCACCUCAAGCAGGAGUCAUGUGUGAUGCAAGGAUGUCAUCACAGCUGCAGUGUUGCUAGAUGAUUUUGCAAACAAUAAAACUGAAAAGGCCUUCAAACAAAACAACAAACCCUCAGAUACAAUCCCAAUGGCAUCUUCACCAGCCCAGUGUUGGGGGAAGGCAGCGGUGUCCAUUCCACAGCAAAAUCUCUCCUGGUCCAUGUAAACUUGUCACCGUUCCUAGAAUUUGCCUUCAACCAUCUGUUCAUUCCCUCUCCACACAGGAAGACUUCUCUCCUGUUUCUGCUAAUACACCCCCCUUCUUUUCCACAUACUUGCAACUCUUAUAUAAGACAAUAAAAUAAAAUAAAAUAAAAUCA